CAGGGGUCAGAUCUCGAGGGGCCUUGAAACCACGCAAGGGGGUUGGCCUUUAAUGCUGCUGGCCAUCAGGAGCCACCAAAAGGUUUUAAGCUGGGAAGAACGCGAUCAGAGUCGCAUUUACGUUGGGUCACUGCAUCCUGGUGUGGAUUUGCGGUGAUUUGAGACCGGAGGACGGUCUCAGUAGGGACAGUGGCCUGGGAUCGGGCAGCUGCAAUAGAAACGGAGUAAAAGGCCUGAGAAGCAAGGGCGAAAAAGAGGUAUCUUGGAGCUGUUACACAACCUCAGUCUACCCAUAGAAGCAUCUUGGAAGACUUCUCACUGUGGAGAUUCCUGAAGAUGGUGUACUGAUGGUUCUGUCGGCUGAACGCCACUAGAAACUCUACUGACUCAGGCUUUCUGACUGUUGGAAUGGUUUUAGAUGGUCAUCCCAGAGAAUGAAGGCAUGCAUGACUCACAUGAAGCACUGGUUAUUAAAGACAAGUACCAACUUACAUUUUAAGUCCAAAGCCAGCAUUUGCUCAUUCUGAGGUGGGACUGGUGAACAUCCAUAAGUGACAUGGCUAUUUGGGAGUACUUUUGGUUGGGACACUGAAGCCAGAGCUCCAGAGGGUGGCUGAAACAGAAUAUCCCCCUGCUAAACAGGCCAGUGAGAAGAAUUCCUCACUAUCAAAUUCUCAUCAACAAGUCUGACAGAAUUUGCGUCUCCUAAACCUACAUUUCCAAGGAGGUCAUAACAAUAUUUAUGGAAUAUGAGGCACAGAAUCUUAAGUUAAAGAAUAUUUUUCCAGGUCUUAUUUACACUGAACUCAAAUUAACUGUCAAAUAAGAAUACUGACAUAAGUAAGGUAAAUCGCUACUACAAAAAAUGGAAUCUUUAGCAUGUAGCUGAAUGGAAUCCUAAAUUUUAUCAGUAAUAUUCAGAAACCUUAUUUUAAUAGUAUUUCCUUCUAAAAAGGAGCUUGGAACAUAGUGGGUCUGUUUCAAAUAUCCUAAUUAGAAAGAAAUUUUCUUUCAGAAAACAGCAAUUACAAUUUUUUGCUUUCUUGAAAGAUUUUCUUUAAAAAGGGGUUCAGAAGAAAGAAAUUCUGUCAGGAUUAAGUUCGGGCUAGGUUUAUUCUAGCAGGCUCUGUGGCACAGGUCCCCUAAGUAAUUCACUGUGAUACUCCAGUAUCUGCCAUGUGUCAGAAAUUAACUUGCCAUUAACUGACAACUAUAUUUGAUACCCUUAGUCUUAAAGUACACAGGAUGUCAUACAUAAACCAGUCCAAUCUUUGAAGGAUUACUUCUCUUAGAUGCUCUACAGAAUUGUAGGACUGUCCAUUUUAUAGGAUUUUUUUUGAGGCAACAUCUUUAAUAAUGCCUGUAAAUUCUAAAAAGUGUUUGCUAACUUAAAAUUUGUUUUUAGGUAUUUAUUGCUAAGUUGAAAACCUUCUUUACCAAAUAUGAUGGAACCAAAGAUACAAUGAAGCCGUGGCUAAGAAAACUCACCCCCUGUGAUUAAAUUUUAUUGAGUAUGAACAAUUUUUUUCUUGAUGUACAGACUCAAUUGUACUUUUCUACCCAACUGGAUAAAUAAAAGCUAAAAUAUAAUUUAUUUAACUCUUUUUGGAAAUAAAACUUCAACAUACCUUAAA